rnacentral:tRNA from 1 species
CAUUAAGUGACUGAAAGUAAGUAAUGGUCUCUUAAACCAAAAAAUAGUAACUGACAAAUACUCUUAAUGG